GGCCGCUUAGCUCAGCUGGUUAGAGCAUUGUACUAAUAUCCUGAAUGGGAUUUCAGUCAUGCAAAGGUCGGCAGUUCGAUCCUGUCAGUGGUCA